rnacentral:rRNA from 1 species
AGAGUUUGAUCAUGGCUCAGAACGAACGCUGGCGGUAUGCCUAACACAUGCAAGUCGAACGCGAACGGAAUCUUCGGAUUCCAAGUAGAGUGGCGCACGGGUGAGUAACACGUGGAUAAUCUGCCCUAAGGUCAGGGAUAACACUUCGAAAGGGGUGCUAAUACCAGAUAAGCUCACGACUUCUUCGGAGGCUGUGAGAAAAGAUUUAUUGCCUUAGGAUGAGUCCGCGGUCCAUUAGCUAGUUGGUGGGGUAAUGGUCUACCAAGGCUGCGAUGGAUAGCUGGUCUGAGAGGAUGAUCAGCCACACUGGAACUGAGACACGGUCCAGACUCCUACGGGAGGCAGCAGUGGGGAAUUUUGCGCAAUGGGGGAAACCCUGACGCAGCAAUACCGCGUGAAGGAUGAAGGCCCUUGGGUCGUAAACUUCUGUCAGAGGGGAAGAAAUACUCGCAAGAGUGCUGACGGUACCCUCAAAGGAAGCACCGGCUAACUCCGUGCCAGCAGCCGCGGUAAUACGGAGGGUGCAAGCGUUGUUCGGAAUUAUUGGGCGUAAAGAGCAUGUAGGCGGACUGUUAAGUCCGGUGUGAAAGCCCGGGGCUCAACCCCGGAAGUGCAUUGGAUACUGGCAGUCUUGAGUAUGGGAGAGGGAAGUGGA